UACGGGGGGGGUAAGCGUUGUUCGGAAUUACUGGGCGUAAAGGGCUCGUAGGCGGCCAACUAAGUCGGACGUGAAAUCCCCAGGCUUAACCUGGGAACUGCGUCGGAUACUGGAUGGCUUGAAUCCGGGAGAGGGAUGCGGAAUUCCAGGUGUAGCGGUGAAAUGCGCAGAUAUCAGGAGGAACACCGGUGGCGAAGGCGGGUCUCUGGGCCGAUACUGACGCUGAGGAGCGAAAGCGUGGGGAGCGAACAGG
rnacentral:rRNA from 1 species